UUCCCCAAUGCUUUCCUGCGCCAAAAGAGCUCCGCUUCUCUCAACAAUGGAGGUGCCUUACCAACGCCAGAGGGAGGAGGAAUCAAGGAGUCUGUUUCAUGGGGGACUCAACGGACUCAGGAUGUGUUUUACGAAACGAGGACACCAGCAUUUGAGCGUGGCCAUUCAGAAGAAAUUCCCACUGAGCAGACAAGCAAACAGGUAGUAGAAAUGCGAGAGAUCAGUCCAACAAUGGCCAAUGGUGAGCACCAGCCUGGCCUGGAGAGCCAGGGGCGAGCUGCCUCCAUGCCCCGCCUGGCAGCAGAAACUCAGGUGAGCGCAGGAGGCUUAACUGGCAAUGGAAGACUUACAGUAAGUCAGCGAUUUAACACCUUCUUUCUGUCUGUUUGUCUGGAAGACCUUUGGGAGGUUUAUCAAUGUGAGUGCUGCAGUGGGCAAUUUGAUUAUGCAUU